UACAGAGGGGGCAAGCGUUAUUCGGAAUUAUUGGGCGUAAAGGGCGCGUAGGCUGCUUGGCAAGUGGAAGGUGAAAUCCCUCGGCUUAACCGAGGAACUGCCCUCCAAACUGCUUGGCUUGAGACCGGGAGAGGUGAGUGGAAUUCCCAGUGUAGCGGUGAAAUGCGUAGAAAUUGGGAGGAACACCAGUGGCGAAGGCGGCUCACUGGACCGGAACUGACGCUGAGGCACGAAAGCGUGGGGAGCAAACAGG
rnacentral:rRNA from 1 species